rnacentral:lncRNA from 10 species
UCCAUACUUGCUGGGAGAUUGAGUAAUUGGUGUCUGGAUGUGCGUGUGCUGCUUCCCAAAAUACCUCUUUAAAAAGACGUGAGAGGGAUGCGGAGCCAGUAGGGAUGGCAAAGCUCGCUAUCACGUGGAUCACCCAGACUCCCUCAUUUUACUGGUUCUUCACAGCACCCAGGAAGAUUUUAGAUGGACCUCAAAUACAAAGGCUGUGAGGAGCCCUAUUCGUUGUGUUGACACCACUGAGAGAUUAUUUUUUUCCCAGAGAAGAAAAAGGAGACACACCUGACUUUUAACCUCUUUGAUCCCUUAAAAAGUUAUUUUCCCAGCUGGGUGCAGUAGCUCCUGCCUGUAAUCCCAGCACUUUGGGAGGCCGAGGUGGGUGGAUCACCUGAGGUCGGGAGUUCAAGACCAGCCUGGUCAGCAUGGUGAAACCCCGUCUCUACUGAAAAUACAAAAAUUAGCUGGGCAUGGUGGUGCAUGCCCAUAAUCCCAGCUACUUGGAAGGCUGAGGCAGGAGAAUCACUUGAAUCACUUGAGCCCUGCAGGUGGAGGUUGCAGUGAGCCAAGAUUACACCAUUGCACUCCAGCCUGGGUGACAGAGCGAGACUUCAUCUCAAAAAAAAAAAAAAAAAAAAGAGAGAGAAAAAAAGUUAUUUCCCCUUGUGCCAAGAAUGAGAUGAAGCCUGGAGAACAGGUGAGGGAAAAUGAGCUGAUGCCAUUCAAGAGUAACCAAGAAUCGUGGGCUGGAUGUUAGUGUUACCAGGCAGAGCUUGGUUCCUUG